GCGCCUGUAGCUCAGCGGAUUAGAGUACUUGUCUUCGGAACAAGGGGUCGCAGGUUCGAAUCCUGCCAGGCGCGC
rnacentral:tRNA from 15 species